AAUGAGCACCUAGGAAAAAAAGGCCAUAUGCAGAUAAUGACGAACCAUAAGACUGAAUUACCUCGGAUGCUUGUGCCCACAAGAAAUCGCGGAGCCACCUAUUAAUAGUAAUAGAACUUUACGCAAAGUUUCCUCCCGUGAUAUGAGUUACUACCCCUUGAUCACUUACACUGCCCCAAACAUCUGACUGCAUUUUCCAACUGAAAUGGAAUAUUACUACCGAAAUUGCAUUGUACAUCCAGAAUAGUCUUAAGAAGACAUGAUCCCAGGCCGAUACUUGAUAUGUACCCCCUCUUCCAGGUCCAUCACAAGGAAAACGAAAACCAAAAUUUACUUUAUCCGGUAUCAAACGGGAACUGCGAGCAAAUAGAACACCUUUCAAGUGUAUCAAUAUCUUCACAUGAAUCGUAAAUGCAUGAAUGUGAUGUACCAAAAAAUCCGCGGUUCCUAAUGGAAUAGGCAACAAAGCCACCUUGCCACCCACUGCCACUAAAUCACCACCCCCUCCCCAAGUUAAACUGGUACUUGCUGUUGCACCAGGAGCCGUAUUUAGUUACAGUUGUAAUAUCUCUAGGAAACACAAGUUCAAAUAAUUUCCUAUGUAUAAAGGUUAUAAUAAAAAAACUAACAAAUACUAGAAAGCAGUAAAACUAUCAUUUAACAAGAAUAAGGAUUAGAACAAGAUUAAGGAGGUCUAGAGCUAUGAUUUUCCCAACUGUCGAAAUCCUUCCUGGUUUGUCUUUUAUAAUUUCGCCUAAGUAUCUCUAUUGAUCGUGGGUACUUCGGGUGUCAUAGUUCUAUUCCGAGCAACUACCACAAUUUACUAGACAUAUUCUUCCGGCCUACGCUAGCUGGCAUUAGUUUACCUCUCACUAAGAUCGCAUCAAUGUUUCGUUAUUCAUAAUCCCACCUUUAAACCUUUCGUAUUGAUUCAUCAAAUACGUUAGUAGUAAUGUUGUUCAACAUCUACCUAAAUAUGUAUCAAUUUCCAAGCAAUACAUACUAAAUAGGCACAAUCAAUUGAUGGUCAUUCAAUCAAAAACAAUAAACACGUAGUUGAAUAAAUAGAGAAACCUAAUGGCUCAAUUAUAUAAAAGCAUAAUAAGAGUUUAUCCUACAAAAGGUUUUAUCAAAAUUCUAGAUAACAAAUUAGAUAUUCAUAAUAGUAUGCAUAACUACAGUAAUAGAAUUCAUAACCAAAAAAUAGAAAUAGAAAGAAGGAACUGAAAAACUCGUAGAAGAAUUCUCCACCUUGCUCUGAGUUUGUUCUUGCCUCUUUAGGUUUAAAUUUUCAUAAAAAUAGUGUUUAAUAACUAUUUAUACACGUAGGGAAAAGAUUUAGAUGAAAUAAUCAAUUUCAAAAAAAAAAAGACAAAAUAGGCUUUAAACCCCGAAACACGCAUCAAAUCGCGGCAGACCGAGUCUAGCGAGCUCAAACAUAAGCUCCAUCUCGUUGUAGCCCUCGCGUCGCCUGCUCUAACGAGAGUUAAAUAGCUCACUACGCCUGCUGCUUCGUUUCUCAUUCUUCAAUUUCAAUAUGGAGGUCUUUUGUUAGUGCUAGUUGCCUAACACUCCCACUUCUUUCUUUUGCUUUCCAAUUUCAUCUUACAUCAAUUUUCACACAUUAUCCUUGAAUAAAUUUAUCUUCAAUCAUUAUCCAAUCAUGAUAUCAUAAUAUUUUCUAUCGUUAAAUAAUCACAAGCCAUUCUUGUAGUGCAUAAGUUAGACAUAAAAUCUUUACUUUGAUUUCAAUUUCAUCUUCAAUGUACUUACACAUAAAAUAAAUUCAAUUAAGUAUAAAUAUAGUAUAAUUUAGCAUUAAAACACCUAAAUGUAAAGUAAGUAAUAUACUAAAAAUAUAUAAUUAUUGCCAAACAUCACCACCCUACACUUAAACGUUGCUUGUCUUCGAGUCAACCAACAAUUCACCACUAUAGAGACACACUACACCAAUAAUUAUAGUUGAUAUCAACAAUUAAGCUAGAGCAGAUGCCUACAACGCUUCCCUUUACUCUAUGCCAUACUUUAAAAAUUUAUUCAGCAAUAAGACAACUUGCUUAUAACUGUCAUAGCCUCACAAAACGACUCAAUGUCACAAUGCACUCAAUAGCUUGAACACUCAACAUCGUAGAGAAAUCUAAUAACGUCACAUAUCCUUUGUGAAACCAUGUACCCUCAAAACAAGAGCAAGAGGGUAAGUUGAAUCCACACAUUUACUUGUGGGAUUUUAGUGGGUAGGUUGUUGUUGUUGUUGUUUGGUGUAUCCUUUUACUAAACAAGUGCACAUUUCUUCUUUUCAUUGGUUCCACUCAAAAGUCACCCCACACUUAGUCUCUUCUUACUCCUUUGGGCGCUCAUCUCACAAAUAAAGUGUUUAAGAGGUAAAUGAUCAAAAUAGUAUCACUUAAGAAUAAAAAGAGUUAGAUUUGUAAUGUGAAUGCCAAAUAAAAAUCUGUAGGCUCAAAUGAGUUAACUAGCGAUAGAUUUUAUUUGUGACGGUGAUAAUGCUCAAAAAAUCAAAGAAAUAUUAAAAUUAUUUUUUAAACUGAGCAUCACCUCAAAUUUUACUUCAACUCACAUACCAAGCAAGUUCUAGACACAAGUACAAUGACAUGAACUACACAAAAAAUCUUACCACAAAUGGCACAUGAUUCACUAAGGGCUUUUAUCUCAUUCAGACUCUCAACUAAUGCAAGUAUUCACAAAGCCACGAAUUAUUAAGCAUUAAGCAUAAAGUGAGAAAUCGUUAAGAGAAUAAGACAUAUGCGUCAAUAACAUGCUAUACAAUUCAUCACAACAUGAUAAAUUUUAACACAAAGGUACGUUACUACACAUGCCAAAGACCAAAAUUAUCAAACAAGUCAAAGGCACCAGGAAUCUCAUCUUUCUUCCCUCAUUUAUUUUAUAAAUUCUAAUCUACUCUAAAAUAAUAAAAAAUUAAAGAAAAAACUAUUACUCAGUUCAAACUACAUCUGAUGAAAAAAAUUGAGGCACAAAGAAAAAUCAAAGGAGAUCAUUACUACUUUAAAAAAACUAAAAGAUAUAUUUUUGGAUUUUUAUUUAGACUUUAAUCCCUCAAGAAAACUGCUUAGGAGAUCCAUAGUCGGGGCAAGUUUUAUUUUCUUAUUAUUAUUUUCCAUAUUUAAAAAAUAAAAAAAUAAAUUAAGCUACAAAAAUAUUACACAACUAUGAAAACAAAUAUAAGAAGCUAAAAUCAAAAUAAGAAGUUAACAUUUUCAAACAUACUACUAAUUAUCUAGAGGAAUUCUUCCACUCCACACUUAAAGAAGUGAAAUGUCCCCACUGUAAAACUAAAGAAAAACAAUAAUAAGGGUAGACAAGAAACUCCCUGAAAAGGCCAAAAGAACGAAGCAAUAGUGGCUCGCGGGUACUUGGACUUCCCCUAUGCAUGGUUUUUUGUGUAGGUAUCUCACACUUAGUUCUCACCAUCUAACUUGCUUUUGCACUCUUCUAAUGUUUUUACCUCCUACGCUUAUAAUCCUACAAACCAAAAACAAACACUACAAUAAUAAUAAGAUAAAAAAAUAAAAAUAAAAAUAUGCAGUAAAGAUGGGUUGCCUCCCAACAAGCAUCUGAUUUAACGUCGCAGUACGAUUUGCACUACUUUUUGCCUCCACCUUGAACUUAUGAAUUGGACCCAAGUUUUGAUUCUGCUCUAUGAUCAUGCUCUUGGGGCGAUGCAAAUUGUUGCGAGCCAAAAAUGAAAUAAUUUUUUAUGCACUUUUUGGUUUUAAACUGAGGAGUGUCAUUUUGCCUUGACGGCCUUGAAAAUUUUAUAAUAUAGAGCUCAUCUACCACUUCAUUUGACUCUUGCAUUGGCUCAUACAGAUGAAUUUCCAUUUCACCAUAUGAAAAUAAUGUAGAGAAGUGUUUGGAAUGAGGUCCAACGCGCUCAAAUAUAUGAAUUCCAAGAUUUUUAAUCUCUUCAACACCACACUAGAGUCAACUAAACUUGUAUCUUCAACAUCCCUGGUUGAAUUUAAUAUUAUUUCUUCAACAUCGACAUCCUCAAAUUUUAGUUGGUUAGAUUGUUGGUUUUCUACUCUGACCUCCUCCAUUUUCACCUCAAUUUCAGCAUCUAUUUCAUGGUCUUCUUGGCUAUUAUCCACAAUAUUGGUUUGUUGAGCAUUAAAUGCCUCAAUUAGUUGACUCAUUUGUGCCUUCAGGUUGCGUAUAACAGCUUCUUGCCUUUGUAAGUGCAGUUAUUUCUCAUUAUUUUAUUCCACAAGGCACCUUAGCAUAUCAUUGAUCUCUUUCAAGUCAUCAUCCGUGGGUUCUUUGAUCCUAUUAACUUUAGAAGAAAAAGAAGAACCAUCAAAUUAAGGAGUUAGAGAAAGAUUGUCAACAAAAACAACCCAGUAUAAUCCCACUUAGUGGGGUCUGGGGAAGGUAGUAUGUACGCAGACCUUACCCCUACCAUGGGGUAGAGAGGCUGUUUCCAAAUAGACCCCUGGCAUCCUUCCCUACAAGCACUUCCUACCUUCCUCUUGGGGAGACUUGAACUCACAACCUCUCGGUUGGAAGUGGCGGUUGCUUACCAUCAGAGCAAAGAUUGUCACUACCCAGAUUUUCCACCCUUGAGAGUCGUUAUGGCGCAUACUCAUAGAAGCUAGGCAAGCCAUGGACUUAGAAAUCACUAACUCAUUUGUUUUAAAACUACUUGAAAAUUACAUUAGCAGGUGAUAAACAUGUAAAUAACAGCGGCAUUUUAGUUUAGCAGAAGUCUUAAAUAAAUAUAAACCCAAAACAUCUCGAAACAACACAUGUCUCUAACCAGAACCUAGUGUCACAACAUCCACGGACUACUAAGAGUACUACAUACAACAAUUUGAAGGAAAUAUAGUACUAUUUUUCUUGAAUACAUGAGAUAAUAGGAUAUAAAAUAAGAUAGAGGAGACGUCGGGCCUGCGGACGCCUGCAAGGCUACUUGGUGUCUUGAAGGACUGAAGGCUGGCUCCCGAACUACUGUCGCUAAUCAAAUGCUGCUCUGGUAUCUACACAGAGUGCAGAGUGUAGUAUCAGCGCAACCGACCCCAUAUGCUGGUAAGUGUCUGGCCUAACCCCGGCGAGGUAGUGAUGAGGCUAGGACCAGACUCCACAUAAAUCUGUGCAGUUAUAUGUAUAUACAGUGGAAAAUAGUCUGGAAUAACAAUUAAAGCUGGGAAGGGGAAACAUGCUUCAGGGGAUGACAGAUAAGAACAGAAUCUCAAGAGAAUUAUAAGGAAGACCAAAAUUUAACUUCUAACCUAUAUAAGGAGAAUAAAGACAGGGUUCACUUUCAAUUCACAUCUCAUUGCAGGCUGCAACCUGAUCUUAUUUCUCAUUUCUCGUGGUAGGCGUACCACCCGCUCCCAUUUCAAUAUAACUCGUGGUAGGCAUACCACCUGCAUCUAUUUCAUUAAACCUCAUGGAGCAUACCACCCGCUCCCAUUUUAUUAAAUCUCGUGGUAGGCGUACCACCCGCUCCCAUUUUAUUAAAUCUUGUGGUAGGCGUACCACGCGCUACCAUUUUAUUAAAUCUUGUGGUAGCCAUACCACCCGCUCCCAUUUCAUUAAAUCUUAUGGUAGGCGUGCCACCCACACCCAUUUCAAGCCAAUACAAAAUCACAAAGAAAUCCUGGCAAAGGAACAAGGUAAUAUAAUAACUUUUCGGCAAGGUAAAAAAGCAAUAUAAUAACUUCACGACAAGGGAACAAAGCAAUAUAAUAAAUUUCCGACAAGGGAAUAGCAAUAUUGAAACAAACAUCCCGGCAGGGGAGAAUCAUCUAUAACCAACCUUAACUCAACUUCUACUCAGCUCAAUUAACACCAAUACUUAGUCGUAAGUUAAUUCCAUGAAAAUAAACUAAAUCCUUGACCGAUAUCGAGAAUCACCAAUUAAAGCAACCGUAGAAUCAUUUAAGAACACAACAAUUAUCAAAUUAAGACUCACGGUCAUGCUCGACACCAAUGUAUAGAUACUCGUCACCAUGCCUAUACGUCGUACUCCAUAAGAAACAAUUAGCAAAUUGGACACAACUCCUAAUCCCUCAAGCUAAGGUUAGACCAGACACUUACCUCAAACUUUCACGGCUAACUCAAUCCUCAAACACCACUUUUCCUUUCAAAUUUGGCUCCAACCCAAUCGAAUCUAAACAUAAUCGAUUUAAAAAUAUCAAUAAUUACUAAAAAAAAAUCCAAUUCCAAUGCUUAAUUAUAGCUUUCUAAUUAUUAUUCCCAAAAAUCCAAAAAUCGAUCUGGGAUCCGCUUGGUAAAAACACACGGUUCAUACAAAAAUCAAAUCACUAAUUCACCCACAAGCCCAAAUAUAUAAUUAUUUCGCGAAUUCGACCUCAAAAUGAGGUCUAAAUCAUCAUUAAUCAAAAAGCCCUAGUUCUACCCAAAUUUCUAAUUUUCUACCCAUAAUCUCAUGUUUUAGGCAUAGAAAUCUUAUGGGUGAUGAUAGAAAUGGAAGAAAACAAGCUUAGGAUUACAUACCUAUAAAGUUAUGGUGAAUAAACUCUUCAAAAAUUACCCCAAGAGGUGUGGAGAAGAAGGAGUUAUGAAAUUUGUAAUAAUCCUGUAAGGCUACUAUUUUGGGUCUUUAAAAAUUACUGGCCAAAAAUGGUCUAUACGAUCAUGAAGAAUGUAGUGCGAUCACAUAGAGUAAGGAGAAAAUGGUCAUUGCAAUCGUAAAUAGAGCACUGCAAUCGCAUAGAAGAAACAUGCUAGGCAUUGCAAUCGCGAAUAGCACUAUGCGAUCGCAUAGAGGAAAAUAUAGGACCUCUCAGACUUAACAACAUAAGAUCGCAAGAGGAACUAUGCGAUCGCAUAGAACCAAACUGAACCCCUAAAAAUUACUCUAUGCGAUCGCGAUCCUACUUAUGCGAUCGCAUAGUACAAAUCACUGCACCAAAAGCUGCAAAAAAACCAAAUUUUUUCUAAGUUCAAAACACUCCGACACCUAUCCAAAACUCACCCGAGCCCUCGGGCUCCUAACCAAACAUACGAACUAACUCAAUAACAUCAUACAAACUUAUCUGUGUGAUAAAAUUGCUAAAAUAAUAUCAAUAUCAACAAAUUAAACCUCAAAAUCAAAGCAUUUUUCUCAAACUUCAUCAAGUAUCAAAUUUAGCAAUUCAAGUCCGAAUCACGUCAAACGACGUCCGUUUUUAACCAAAUUUUACAUGAGUGAUUUAAACCACAUAUAAGACCUGUACCGGACACUAGAACCAAAAUAUGGGCCCGAUACCAUCACUUUCUAAUCAGAUUUUAUUUUAGAUUUUCUUAAACAAUUUCAGAAAAUAAUUUCACUUAAAAAUUCAUUUCUCGGGCUUGUGGCAUUGAAAUUUGAUUCCGGACAUAUGCCCAAGUCUCAUAUUUUCCUACGUACCAUUCGGGACCGUCAAAUCACGGGUCUAGGUCCGUUUACCCAAAAUAUUGAUCGAAGUCAAAUUUACUUAUUUUAUAAUCAAAACUUAGCAUUUUUCAUAAAUUUUCAUAUUUAUGCUUUCCGGCUACACGCCCGGACUAUGCACGCAAAUUGAGAUAAUGAUAAAUGAGGUUUUUAAUGCCUCGAUGACACAAAAUUCAAUUAAAAUAGGUAAUGAUCCUUUGGGUCGCCACAUUCUCCACCUCUAAAAUAAUCGUUCGUCCUCGAACGGACAUAAGAAGGAAGUACCUGAGUCGAGAAAAAGAUGGGGAUAACGACUCCGCAUAUCGGACUCGGACUCCCAGGUUGAUGCCUCAGCAGGCUAACCUCUCCUCUAAACAUGAACAGAAGGAAAGCUCUUCGAUCUCAACUGACGAAUUUUCCAGCUAGAAUAGCUACCAACUCCUCCUCAUAAGACAAGUCCUUGUCCAACUGGACAGUGUUGAAAUCUAACACAUGGAAUGGAUCGCCGUGAUGCUUGUGAAGCAUGAACACAUGAAACACUAGAUGCACAACUGAUAAGGUAGGCGGUAAUGCAAGUCUAUAAGCCAUAUCUCCCACUCGAUCAAUAAUCUCAAUUGACCAACGAACCUAGGGCUAAGCUUUCCCUUCUUCCCAAAUCUCAUCAUGCCCUUCAAAGGCGACACUCGGAACAAUACCCACUCACUAAUCAUAAAAGCUACAUCUCAAACCUUGUGGUAUGCAUAACUCUUUUUCCUGGACUGAGCUAUACGAAGCCUAUCCUGAAUGAUCCUGACCUUUUCCAAGGCCUCCUGAACCAGAUCUGUACCCAGCAACCGAGCCUCCCCGGGCUCAAAUCAUCCAACCGAAGAUCGACACCGCCUACCAUAUAAAACCUCAUAAAGAUCCAUCUGGAUACUCGACUGGUAGUUGUUGUUGUUGGCAAACUCUGCUAAAGGAAAAUAUUGAUCUCACGAGCCUCCAAAGUCAAUGACACAAUCCCCGAGCAUAUCCUCUAAAAUAUGAAUAGUUCGCUCAGACUGCCCGUCCGUCUAGGGAUGAAAUGUUGUGCUCAACUCAACCUGUAUGCUCAAUUCUCGCUAAACUGCUCUUCAAAACCACGAGAUAAACUGCGUACCUUGGUACGAAAAAUAUGGGCACACCAUGAAGGCAAACAAUCUCCCGAAUAUAGAUCUCAGCCAACCUCUUAGAAGAAUAAGAGACUGCCACAGGAAUGAAAUGUGCUGACUUGGUCAGCCUAUCAACAAUGAGCCAUACUGCGUCGAGCUUCUUUCGAGUCUGCAGGAGUCUAGUAAUGAAGUCCAUAGUGAUCCGCUCCCAUUUCUACUGGGGAAGCUCAAUCUUCUAAAAUAAACCACCAGGCCUCUGAUGCUCGUACUUGACUUGCUGACAAUUCAAACACUAAGUCGUAUAUGCAACAAUAUCCUUCUUCAUUCUCCUCCACCAAUAAUGUUGCCACAAAUCCUGAUACAUUUUUGCGGCGCCCAGAUGAAUAGAGUACCAUGAGCUAUGGGCCUCCUCUAAAAUCAACUCUCGGAGCUCAUCCACAUUAGGCACACAUGCUCAACAAUGCAGUCUCAAAACUUCAUCAUCAUCUAAGGUAACCUUCCUAGCACCUCCGCGUUGCACCGUGUCUCUAAGGAUACACAAAUAAAGAUCAUCAUACUGCCGAUCACAAAUGUGCUCCAACAAUGAAGAAUGAUGACCGUGCAAGAUAACACACGACUAGGCUAAAAACAUCUAGUCUCAUGAACUGAUUGGCCAAAACUUGAACAUCCAAAGCAAGCUGCCUCUCACCGACUCGAAUAUAAGCAAGAUUUCCCAUACUGGCUGACUUCCUACUCAAAGCAUCGGCCACCACAUUGGCCUUUCCCGGGUGAUAUAAGAUGGCGAUAUCAUAAUCCUUCAACAACUCCAACCACCUUCUCUGCCUCAAAUUCAACUCUUUUGGUUGAACAAAUACUGAAGACUCUUAUGAUCUGUGAAUACCUCACAUGCCACGCCAUACUGAGAGUUCCUCCAAAUAUUCAAUGCAUUGUUGAUGGCUGCCAACUCUAUAUCAUGGACUGGAUAGUUCUUCUCAUGAACUUUCAACUGCCUCGAAGCAUAGGCAAUGACCUUGCCAUCCUGCAUCAACACUACACCAAGCCCAAUACGAGAAACAUCAAAAUAAACUGUAUAGGCCUUGAACCUAUGGGCAAAACCAACACUGGCGGUGUUGUCAGAGAUGUCUUGAGCUUCUGGCCUCACACUCAUCUGACCACCUGAACUGCACUUUUCUGGGUUAACCUAGUCAUCAGGGCUACAAUAGACGAAAACCUUCCCACGAACCGAUGAUAGUAGCCUGCCAACCCCAAGAAACUCCGAAUUUCUGUAGCUGAUGUUGGUCUAGGUCAGUUCUUGACCGCCUCAAUCUUCUUCGGAUUAACCUGAACACCCUCUGCUGACACAACAUGACCUAGAAAUACGACUGAACUCAACCAGAACUCACACUUCGAGAACUUGGCAUAUAACUCACUAUCCAUGAGAGUUUGAAGAACCACUCUAAGGUGAUGCUCGUGCUUCCCUUGAUUGCGAGAAUAUAUCAAGAUAUCAUAAAUUAAGACUAUCAUGAAUCCAAAUAAAGUCUAAAAACUCCAUCAAAUCCAUAAAAGUUGUUGGGGCAUUUUUCAACCCGAACGACAUAACAAAGAACUCAUAAUGCACGUAUUGAGUGCAGAUAGUUGUCUUAGGGACAUCAGAUACCUUAAUCCUCAACUGAUGGUAGCCAUAUCUCAACGCAAUCUUUGAAAAUACCCUGGUACCCAGAAGCUGAUCGAACAAAUCAUCAAUCCUCAACAACAAAUACUUAUUUUUGAUAGUAACCUUGUUCAAUCGCCGGUAAUCAAUACACAUUCUCAUUGACCCAUCCUUCUUUUUAACAAACAACAUUGCCGCACCCCAAGACAAAAUACUGGGUCUAAUGAAACCCUUCUCAAGCAAGUCUUGCAAUUUUGGCUUUAACACUUUCAACUCAGGCGGGUCCAUACGAUACGGUGGAAUAGAAAUGGGCUGAGUGCUCGGAGCCAUAUCAAUGUAAAAGUCAACAUCCCUGUCGGGCGGCAUACCUGGCAGGUUUGAAGGGAAAACAUCAAGAAACUCACGAACAACGAGAAUAGAGUCAAUAGAAGGGACCUCGAUACUAGAAUCACGAACAUAUGCCAAAUAGGUCAAACACCCCUUCUCGACCAUACACCGAGCCUUUACAUACGAGAUAACACUGCGGGUAGAAUGUCUAGGAGUCUAUCUCUACUCUAGACAAGGCAUACCCAGUAAAGCUAAGGUCACAAUCUUGGCAUGACAGUCCAAGAUAGCGUGGUAAGGUGAUAACCAGUCCAUCCCCAAUAUAACAUCGAAAUCGACCAUGUCUAGAAUCAAUAAUUACACACGAGCCUCAAGACCCUCAAUCACAACUACACAAGAACGAUAGACUCGAUCUACCAUAAUAAAAUCACCCAUUAGUGUAGACACACAAACAUGAACACUCAAUGAAUCACUGGGAAAAAUCAGAUACGGUGAAAAAUAAUAUGACACAUACGAAUAUGUAGACCCUGGAUCUAUAGUACAAAAGCACCUAUAUAACAAACCAAAAUAGUAUCUAUGAUAGGCGCAUCUAAAGUUUCAGCCUUAGGCCUGGGUGGAAGAGCAUAACAUCGGGGUUGUGCCCCACCACCCUGAACUACGUCCCUAGGACGACCUACUGCUGGUUGGCCUCCACCUUUAGGACCUCUGCCUCCACCUCUACCCCCACCUCUAGCUAGCUGGGAAGUCUUUGGAACACCUGGUGCCUGGACCAUAGCACAGGAACUCUGAUGCUAAGAUCUAGUUGGUGCACGAGGGCAAUAUCUAAAAAUAUGCCUCAUGUCACCACAAGUGAAACAAGCUCUCUGCUGCUGGGGCAAACGACCUUGGAAAUUUUGAAGCGGUGGUGCACUGAUAGGAGCUGGUGGUGCACUGAAGGACUACUGAUUAGAAUGCUGCAUUUGAGGACCACGGCUACCUGAAGCACCGUGAGAAACCUGAAGAGUUGACUGAAAGGGCCUAUGAGGAAGACCUCUACCAUAAGAACCUCUACCUCGAGACGAGGUACCACUGAACCUCCCUGGAUGAUGGGGACUCUUAUCCGCUCCAUGACCACCGCCCUUUGAUAGUACCAUCUCAACUCUCUAGGCCAUAUUGGCUGCCUUCCCAAUCUCUCUAGUCAUCUGGAGACGAAUCGGCUGAAUGAGUCCAUCAAUAAACUGAUUCACUCUCUCCCUCUCAGUGGGAAGUAUAAUAAGGGCAUGGCGGGAAAAAUAUUUGAAUCUAGUCUCGUACUGGGUGAUAGUCAUGGAUCCCUAUUGAAGGCGCUCGAACUGCCUCUAAUAGCCCUAUCGCUAAGUAAUUGGGAGAAACUUCUCCAGAAAUAGCCAUGUGAACUGCUCCCAAGUCAAAGAUGGUCCGGCUGGUCUAACCAAACAGAAAUCCUUCCACCAAGUCUUGACACAUCCGACAAGCGAAAUGUAGCAAAAUCGACCCCAUUGAUCUCAACAAUCCCCAUGUUUCAAAGAACCUCAUGAACUGUCCAUGCACCGCUGAUGGUAGUAGUGAACAGCUCGGUGAACGUGUCCAAUAUCCACAAAGCAUCGGCAGACAUGGCUGUACCAUUGCUGGUAUGCGCUAUCGCAACUAGUUGAACUUAAGCCUGUCAACCGGGCCGGGUCGGACCGGUUCCAGACCGGACCGGUUACUAAGGGGUCGGGUGGGUUGGGUUCAAGGGGGAGGGGGUUGGUUCGUUUGGGUUUCUUGGUGUUGGAACCGGACCGGACCGGUUUUAAUGAACAGUGCACUGAACCGGUUAGACCGGCCCGGUCCAACGAUAAUAUUUUUUUAAAAUUUUCUGAAUAUUUUGGGGCCCACAAGACCGUUGGCAAUGGUCAAUAUUGGUCCAGAUCCGUUGGCCAAUGGAUUUUUUUGCAAAAUUGGCCAUUUUUUGGUUAUUUUGUUGUAUUUAUUAAUUUACAAUAUUAACCCUUCUUAAAAUUUAUAAAUACCCUCCCACUCUUCUUCAUUUUUUCACUCAAAAUUCUUAUCUUAUCUCAAUUCUCAAUUUCUCAAUCUUCCCUUCAAUUUGCAAGAUUUCAUAUUCUAAUUUUAUAAUUUUUAUUUGGCUAUAUUUCUUGAGUUUAAUUUACCGAAAAAUUGUCAUUUGAAAAUUGAAAUUCGAAGUUUGAAGUUCAAAGUUACCCCUGUAAUUUGCAAGAUUUCAUAUUCUAAUUUAAUAAUUUUAUUUGUCUCUCUUUUCCCGAAUUUAAUUUAUCGCAGUUUGUCAUUCGAAAUUUGAAGCUUGAAGUUCAAAAUUGAAAUACUUGCUUGACAUUUGUUCGUNNNNNNNNNNNNNNNNNNNNNNNNNNNNNNNNNNNNNNNNNNNNNNNNNNNNNNNNNNNNNNNNNNNNNNNNNNNNNNNNNNNNNNNNNNNNNNNNNNNNNNCAAUUUAUUGUCGAAUUCGGUGCACUCCCUCCAACUCUUUCUCUUAUUUAAUAUUUUAAUUACAUAUUUAAUUUUAGCUUAUACUUUAAUUUUUACAAUUUGUUUAGUGCUGCUAAAAGAACGUGUAGAAAAGUUACUGGUAGGGGUGGAAAUAAAAAAAGAGGUAGUCCUGUUGCUUCCGAUAGUAAUAGUAAUGAACCAAUAACACAUGUUUCUAAAUCAUCGCCUAGUGAUAAUGUAGAGAUAGAUUAUGAACAAUUACAAGAAUAUUUUGGAAUAGAAGAUAAUGAAAUUGGAAUAGAUGAUGAGAUACCACCUACACCUACUACUGGAAAUAUUGGUAGUAUUGGAGUUGGAGUUGCUAGUGCUACAAGGGGUAGUAGACCACCAGUGGCUCCGACUUCUAAUGUAAAAGAAGAAGUCCGGUAUGGAAUUUUUUUGAAUUAAUAGAAGGUACUAAUAGAGUUAAGUGAAAACUUUGUAUCGAAAUUGGUAGUGUUGGAGUUGCUAGUGCUACAAGGGUAGUAGACCACCAGUGGCUCCGACUUUUUAUCGUAAAAGAAGAAGUCCGGCAUGGAAUUUUUUUGAAAUAAUAGAAGGUACUAAUAGAGUUAAGUGCAAACUUUGUAACGAAACUCGUAAAAGAAGAAGUCCGGUAUGAAAUUUUUUUAAAAUAAUAGAAGGUACUAAUAGAGUUAAGUGCAAACUUUGUAAAGAAACUUUUAAACAUUUGACCGGAGAAAAUUUAGGGGGGACUAGGACACUUACAAGACAUAUGAGAUCUGACCAUCCCAUAGAAUGGGCAAUAAUGGGGAUGAAAGUCAAACAACUAUUAACCCUACUACUGGAGGCCUAGUAAAAUAUGAUAAAAUGAGGGAUCGUGAGGAAUUAGCAAAAAUGAUUGCUUUGGGUUGUNNNNNNNNNNNNNNNNNNNNNNNNNNNNNNNNNNNNNNNNNNNNNNNNNNNNNNNNNNNNNNNNNNNNNNNNNNNNNNNNNNNNNNNNNNNNNNNNNNNNNNNNNNNNNNNNNNNNNNNNNNNNNNNNNNNNNNNNNNNNNNNNNNNNNNNNNNNNNNNNNNNNNNNNNNNNNNNNNNNNNNNNNNNNNNNNNNNNNNNNNNNNNNNNNNNNNNNNNNNNNNNNNNNNNNNNNNNNNNNNNNNNNNNNNNNNNNUGUCUGAUUGUCACCAAUUAAUGAAUGCUUUAUAUACUUAUAUGGAGAUUGGAGAAACUGAAACCCCAAAUUUAUAUGAUUCUAUGAACAAGCUAAAAGAAUAUUUACAACAACUAUAUAAUAUUAUGCAAAUGAAUGUGAUAAUACUGCUCGUGCUUCUGGCAAUGUUAAUCCCGCUAUACAAUAUAGCAGUUCUUCUAAUGUGGAUGAUGAAGGCCUUGAUAGUUUUAAUAUUUUUUCUACAUUUUCUAACACUCAAACCAGUAGCAGGAAUAUUGAUGAGCUUCAAUUCUACUUGCAGAAGCAAAAGGAGCCUCGCACAAAGGAAUUUUCACCUUUGGGAUGGUGACAUGAAAAUGAAAAGCAACUUCCUGUUCUUUUCGCUAUGGCUCGGGACGUGCUAAAUGUGCCAAUUUACACUGUUGCAUCGGAGAGUGCAUUUAGCCAAGCAAGACAACAACUUGGAGACACCCGUCACUCNNNNNNNNNNNNNNNNNNNNNNNNNNNNNNNNNNNNNNNNNNNNNNNNNNNNNNNNNNNNNNNNNNNNNNNNNNNNNNNNNNNNNNNNNNNNNNNNNNNNNNNNNNNNNNNNNNNNNNNNNNNNNNNNNNNNNNNNNNNNNNNNNNNNNNNNNNNNNNNNNNNNNNNNNNNNNNNNNNNNNNNNNNNNNNNNNNNNNNNNNNNNNNNNNNNNNNNNNNNNNNNNNNNNNNNNNNNNNNNNNNNNNNNNNNNNNNNNNNNNNNNNNNNNNNCAUUUGAAAUUACUACUUUACUAGUUUACUUGUUAGAAAAAAUGUAAACAUUUCAUUUUCUACUUUUCAAUUUGAAAUUAAGAAAUAAAGUAGCAUUUGUAAUAAGUGAAAUUUUUUCACAUCUUACUUGUAUUCGUUCAAUAAUACAAAAUAUAAAUUAAUAGUCAUACUACACAUAAUUCCAAAACAAAAAGUGAAAAUAUACUAAACCCGGCCCGGCCCCCUCAACCUGUAACCCGUAUGGUUCAAUUUUAACCCGAACAAACCUAGCCCGCUACGAACCCGUUACUAUGCAACCCGGACCGGCCCAUCCCGGAUCCCGGACGGGUCAAAAAAAUUGACCCGGACCGGCCCGGUUGGCCCGUUAGACAGGCUUAGUUUAACUUCCCAAACUGGCUGAGCCACUGGGGUCUGGAACUAGGGAGCUACCUGCUCCAGAGUGUGAGUAAUAGAAGUCUGAGCUCCUCCUCUAGCCUGAGAGAUGGCUGGUGCUAUAGGAAGUAAACAUGCCCCGGUGGCACUCUUCGUGAGGCUCACUAGAUGGACCAGAGCAUCCUGAAGAACUGGGUAGCAAUAAACACCUAUGGGGCAUGAAUUACGCCUAUUGGAACUGUCGGGGCUAGAAACUCGUCAUCAAAACCAACCUGAGGCUCCACUCUGCUACCCUGGGUUGAGCUCUGCCCGUUGUCUCGGCCUCUAGCACGACCUCGGCCUCGCCCUCUCCCUCGCCCUCUGCCCUCGUAGGUGCUAUUAUUGGGGGCUCAAGUUGCUGAUCGGUAGAUGAUGAAGCAAGUGUUCUCGCCACCUGCGAAAGAAUUGAGUAGAAAUUCAAUUAGCAUUCGGAAACCAAACCCCACGACAAGAAGGAACAAAUGCAAAUUUUUCCUAACUUUGUAGCCUCUAGGGGAUAAAUAUAGACGUCUUCGUACACCCUCAGAUUCUACUAAGCUUGUCCAUGAAUUGUGAGCCCUAUGCAACCUAAAGAUCUUAUACCAACUUGUCACGAACCAGAUUUUCCACCCCAGGAGUCGUGAUGACGUCUACUCGUAGGAGUUAGGCAAGUCAUGGACGUAGAAAUCAUUAACUCUUUUGUUUUAAAACUUCUUGAAAAUUACAUUAACAAGUGAUAAACAUGUAAAUAACAACUACAUGUGAGUUUAGCAAAAGUAUUGAAUAAAUAUAAACCUAAAUCAUCUCGAAUACCAAUAUAUGCCUCUAACCAGAACCUGGUGUCACAACAUUCACGUACUACUAAAAGUACUACAUACAACAGUUUGAAGGAACGAUAGUAUUGUUUGUCUUGAAUACAUGAGAUCACAUGAUAUAAAAUAAGAUAGAGAAGACAAUGGGCCUACGGAUGGCUGCAAGGCUACCUCGGUGUCUCGAUGGACUAAAGGCUGGCUCCCGAACUACUGCUGCUGAUCAAAUGUUGCUCUAAUAUCUGUACAGAGUGCAGAGUGUAGUAUCAGCGCAACCGACCCCAUGUGCUGGUAAGUGCCUGGCCUAACCCCAACGAAGUAGUGACGAGGCUAGGACCAGACUCCAAAUAAACAUGUGCAGUUAUAUGUAUGUACAACAGAAAAAUAGACUGGAAUAACAAUUAAAUUUGGGAAGGGGAAACAUGCUUUAGGGGAUGACAGAUAGAAUCAUAAUGUCACGAGAAUUAUAAGGAAGACCAAAAUUUAACUUCUAACACAGAUAAGGAGAAUAAAGACAGGGUUCAAUUCACAUCUCGUUGCAGACGUGCAACCCGAUCCCAUUUCUCAUAUCUCAUGGUAGGCGUACCUCCCGCUCCUAUUUCAAUAUAACUCUUGGUAGGCUUACCACCAGCUCCCAAUUUAUUAAAUCUCGUGGUAGGCAUACCACCCACUCUCAUUUUAUUAAAUCUUAUGGCAGGCGUACCACCCGCUCCUAUUUUAUUAAAUCUUGUGGUAGGCAUACCACCUGCUCCCAUUUUAUUAAAUAUUGUGGUAUGCGUACCACCCGCUCCCAUUUCAAGCUAAUACAAAAUGACAAAGAAAUCCUGGCAAAGGAACAUGACAAUAUAAUAACUUUCCGGCAAGGGAACAAAGCAAUAUAAUAACUUCCCGGCAAGGGAACAAAGAAAUAUAAUAAAAUCCCGACAAGCGAAUAACAAUAUCAAAACAAACAUCACGAAAAGGAAGAAUCAGCUAUAACAAACCUUAACUCAACCUCUACUCAGCUCAAUUAACACCAAUACUCAGUCAUAAGUUAAUUCCAUGAAAAUAAACUAAAUCCUUGCCUAAUAUCGAGAACCACCAAUUAAAACAACUGUAGAAUAAUUUAAUAACACAACAAUUAUAAAACUAAGACUCACGGUCAUGCUCGACACCAACAUAUAGAUACUUGUCACCAUGCCUAUACGUUGUACUCUACAAGAAAUAAUUAGCAAAUAGGACACAACUCUUAAUCCCUCAUGCUAAGGUUAGACCAGACACAUACCUCAAACUUUCACGGCCAACUCAAGCCUCAAACACCACUUUUCCUUUCAAAUUGGCUCCAACCAUCGAAUCUAUACAUAACAUAUUUAACAACAUCAAUAAUUGCUAAACAAUCCAAUUCCAAUGCUUAACAACUUUCUAAUUAUUCUUCCCAAAAAUUCAAAAAUCGACCCCAGGUCCGUUUUGUCAAAAUACGAGGUUCGGACAAAAAUCAAAUCACCCAUUCACCCACGAGCCCAAAUAUACAAUUAUUUUUGAAUUCGACCCCAAAGUAAGGUCUAAAUCAUCAUUAAUAAAAAAUCCCUAAUUCUACAUUUCUACUCAAAUCCCUAAUUUUCUACACUUAAUCUCAUAUUUUAAGCCUAAAAAUCUACCGGGUGAUGAUAGAAAUGGAAGAAAACAAGCUUAGGGUUACAUACAUAUGAAGCUACGGUGAAUAAACUCUUCAAAAAUUACCCAACAGGUGAGGAGAAGAAGAAGUUAUGAAAUUUUAUAAUAAUCCCGUAAGGCAACUAUUUUGGGUCUUUAAAAAUAACUGGACAAAAAUGGUCUAUGUGAUUGCGAAGAAUAUAGUGAGAUCGCAUAGAGUAAGGGGAAAAUGGUCAUUGUGAUCGCGAACAGAGAACUGUGAUUGCAUAGAAGAAACAGGCUGGGCAUUGCGAUCGCGAAUAGCAUUAUGUGAUCGCAUAGAACUCUCAGACUUAACACUAUGCGAUCGCGGGAGGCACUAUAGGAUCGCAUAGAACAAAACUGAACCCCUGAAAAAUUAUUCUAUGCGAUCGCGAGCCUACUUACGAGAUCGCAUAGUACAAAUCACUGGACACCAAAAGCUGAAAAAAAAAUAGAUUUUUUCUAAGUUCAAAACACUCUGACACUUAUCCAAACUCACCCGAGCCCUCGGGCUCCUAACCAAACAUACGAACUAACUCAAUAACAUCAUACAAACUUAUCUGUGCUAUCAAAUUGCCAAAUGACAUCAUUAUUAACAAAUUAAACCUCAAAAUCAAAGCAUUUUUCUCAAACUUCAUCAAGUAUCAAAUUUAGCAAUUCAAGUCCGAAUCACGUCAAACGACGUCCGUUUUUAACCAAAUUUUACAUGAGUGAUUUAAACCACAUAUAAGACCUGUACCGGACACUAGAACCAAAAUAUGGGCCCGAUACCAUCACUUUCUAAUCAGAUUUUAUUUUAGAUUUUCUUAAACUGAAUCACGUCAAACGACGUCCAUUUUUAACCAAAUUUUACAUGAGUGAAUUAAACCAUAUAUAAAACCUGUACCAGGUGCCGGAACCAAAAUACGGUCCUGAUACCAUCACUUUCUAAUCAGAUUUUAUUUCAGACUUCCUUAAACAAUUUCAGAAAAUAAUUUCACAUAAAAAUUCUUUUCUCGGGCUUGGGACCUCGAAAUUCGAUCGACUAAAGUCAAAUUUACUCAUUUUAUAAUCAAAACUUAACAUUUUCAUAGGUUUUCAUAUUUAAGCUUUUCGACUACGCACACGGACUGCCCAUGUAAAUCGAGGUGAUGAUACAUGAGGUUUUUGAGGCCUCGGAGACACAAAAUUCAAUUAAAAGCAAGUGAUGACCCUUUGGAUCAUCACAAAGAUAAGAAAUAUAAGAACAAUCAUGAAAGUGACCAUCUUGACCACCACAAAUAUCACACACAUUUCACAUAUAAGAUUGAAAUGCUGCAUAUAAUUUGCUUUCGGGAAUAAUUUGAUAAUUUUUCCAUGGUGAUUUCCUCCACAAUAUGCAUAAGGAGAAUCAAAUGUAGAAUUACCAACAUCAAAACUCUCAUAAUUCCAAAAUGUCAUGUUUCUCAAAUAAACAAAUAAAACCAAAACUAAAAAAUCAAAAUCAAAUACUAAAAAAGUAAAAUAAAAGUUCAAACUUUAAACCUACCAAUAUGUACACCUACAGCUACACAGUUAGUUUUCCGGCAAUGACGUUAAAAUUUGAUCACGCCUAACUAUGACGUAUAAAAAGGAGUAAGCUAUCGUUGCAAAAUAUAAUCCAAUUUACGAGUCCGUAAUCGAAUCCCAUGGAGAAUUAAGGUUUAGCUAUAGUUGUCCAAUAUCGCUAAGAAACACAAGCACAAAUAAUUUCCUAGGUAUAAAGAUUAUAAUGUUUAUUUUUAUCUAAUUAACUAACAAAUACUAGAAAACAGUAAAACUAUCACAUAACAAGGAUAAGGAUUGGAGACAAGAUUAAGGAGGUCCAAAGUUAUGAUUUUCCCAAUUGUCAAAAUCCUUUCCGCUACGUCUUCUAUGAUAUCGCUUAAGUAUUCUCUACCGAUCGUGGGUACUUCAGGUGUCAUAAUUCUCUUCCGAGCAACUACCACAAUUUAGUAGACAUAUUCUUCCGAACUAUGCUAGCUGGCACUAGUUUACGCUCACUAAGAUUGCACCAAGGUCUCGUUAUUCCUAAUCCCACCUUUAAACCUUCGUAUUGAUUUCUCAGAUAUGUCAGGAGUGGUGUUGUUUGACAACUAGCUAAAUAUGUACCCUUUUCCAAGUAAUAUAUACCAAAUAGGCAGAGUCAGUUGAUGACCAUGCAAUCAACAAUAAUAAACACGUAGUUGAACAAGUAGAGAAUCCAACAACUCAAUUAUAUAAAAAUAUAACAAGAAUUUAUCCUACAAAAGGUUCUAUCAAAACUCUAGAUAAUAAAUUAGCUAUUCAUAAUAGUAUGCAUAACUACAAUACUAAAAUUCAUAGCCAAUAGUGAAAAUAGAAAGAAGGAAGUGAAAAACUCGUAGAAGAAUUCUUCAUGCCUUGCUCCUAAUGUGUUCUUGCCUCCUUAGGUCGAACCCCCACCCUCCUCCCAAAAAAAUGGUGUUUAAUAACUAUUUACAUGUGUAGGGAAAAAUCUAAACACAAUAUCAAGCCUAAAACUAAAAAGAAGACAAAAUAAGCUUUAAAACCCGAAACACGCAUCGCCUCGCGACAGACUGCGCCUAGCGUGCUCCAUCUCGCUGCAGCCCUCGCGUUGCCUGCUCUAACGCGAGCUAAAUAGCUCGCUACACCUGCUACUUCAUUUCUCAUUCUUCAAUUUCAUUUUGGAGCUCUUUUGUUUGUGCUAGUUGCUUAACACUCCCAUUUCUUUCUUUUGCAUUCCAAUCUCAUCUCACAUCAAUUUGCACACAUUGUCCUUGAAUAAAUUUGUCUUCAAUCAAUAUCUAAUCAUGAUAUCAUAAUAUUUUCCAUCGUUAAAUAAUCACAAAUCAUUUUUGUAGUACAUAGAAUACACGUAAAACUUUUACUUUAUUUUUAAUUUCAUCUUCAACGUACCUACACAUAAAAUAAUUUUAAUUAAGCAAAAAUAUAAUACAGUUUAACAUUAAAGCACCUAAAUACAAGAUAAGUAAUAUACUAAAAAUAUAUAAUUAUAGCCAAAUAUUAGUAAUCCCACAUUUGGAGUCUAGAAGAAGUAGAUUGUACACAUACUUUAUUCCUACCUUGUGUAAGGUAGACAUGUUUCCGAUAAACCCUCAAUAGCGAAAGUAUGCAUCACUUAAUUAUUAAGUUAUAAAUGUGUGUAUGCAUUCAUCGGAUUAAAAAUUAAUAAGAAUUAACGUAAAUAACCAUCAACCUAAUCGUUUAAACUUAAAAUAGUCCAUGGAUGUAUCAUAAAUGAAUAUCUCUUUCUUUCUCUCUCUCUCUCUCUCUCUCUCUCUCUCUCUCUCUCUAUAUAUAUAUAUAUAUAUNNNNNNNNNNNACAUAUAUAUAUACAUAUAUACAUAUACAUAUACAUAUAUAUAUAUAUAUACAUAUAUACAUAUACAUAUAUAUAUAUAUAUAUAUACAUAUAUAUAAUCGGUGUUAUCUAUGUAUACCUGCUAAGAAAAGUAAUAAAAAAUAUAACUGGCUAUUUGUGUAAAUAUCCCUUAAAUUAAAUAAAAUGCGGGUAAAUUUUAAUCAUUCUUCUCCAUGGAUACACAACAGUAAGGGGUAUUUGCACAUAUAUCUACUUUUAGGGACGCCGUUGAAGUAAUACCUACAAUGCACACAAAUUUGUAAAUUUUACCCAUCGAAAUGUGAAGUAGUUCAAUCUCUUCAAUGCAACUUUAUAUUUCAAAUUUUAGAUUCUGAAACAUAAACUUGUUCGUCGAAUUUCAAUAAUCCAACACAUAAUUCAAUACCUGAAUCUACUCCAAAUAAGCUUAAAUUUGAAACAUAAUUCUCAAAUAUCACCGCAAUCAUCAAAUUAUCAAAAUCAAACCAAAUCUACCAAACACAUUUUGCAACUAAGAAGAAGAGGAAACUACAACCUACAAUAGUGUUUUGCAACUAAGAAGAAGAAGAAACCAAAAGGGCUCCUGGAUACAUGGGAUAUAAAUACAGAGGAGAAGAAAGUAGCAGCAAAGCUCUUGGAUGCACAUGACAUGAAUAUAAAUGUCACGAUCCAAAAUUACCCUAUCGUGAUGGCGCCUGUCGUGAAACUAGGCAAGCCGACUCUUUACCAAAAUCCAUGCGAUAUUUCAUUUUCAUAGAUAAAUUCACACUAUUUGAUAAUUAAAUUUUAUAAAGAACAUCAAAAUAACAAAGUGCGGAAAGAAAAAACCCGACAUCGGGGUAUUACUAACCAUGAGCAUCUAAUAAAAACUGUCUGAUAAUAGUAAGACUAAUAUAGUCAGGAAAGACAACUAAAUACAUCUAUAAGAGGAUAAGAGGGAGAAAAGCGGGGCUGCAAUCACUAUGCAACGACCUUGCUAACUCCAAUAGAUCCGUGACAUAUGAAAUCAACACUCACUAGCACAUCCAGCAAUCCCUGGAUCUGCACACAAGGUGUAGAGAGUAAUGUGAGUAUGCCAACUCAGUAAGUAAUAAAAAUAAAUAAAGAUUGAGCAGUAGUGGCGAGCAGUAAAACACACAAAGUCUACAUUAUGAAAUCUCAGUAAAUAUAACAUUGCUUUCAAAUAAGUAUGUGAAUCAAAUCAUCUCGUUUUUAAAAUUCAGUGUUCAGUAAAUUCAUUUGAAGAUAUUUUUCAACAAUUUCCACGGAGACUCAAUGGAGAAGAGAGUAAAAGUGAUGAAAAUCAUAAGCAAUUCCUCGGGUAAAACAUCACUCGUAAACAACCCAUCAGACAAAACAUCACUCAUAUACAGACUCACGGGUAAGCCUCACAGUCACUCGUAUAUAGCCCCUCGGACAUAUCUUAUAUCACCCAAUCAGGGUACCAGAACUCGCUGGAUAUGUGCAGACUUUGGAGAGGUUCCUACAGCCCAAGCACUAUAACAAGUCACCUCGUGGCAUAAAUCAAUCGGGCUCCCGGCAUUAGAAAAUCAUGAAUCACUAACAACAUACUACGGCGUGCAGCCCGAUCCUAUAAUAUCCUCACAAAAAUAGGACCUUGAUAGGCCACUCGGGUUAUCAGUAAAAAUAGGAUGCUCACCCCAAAAUAACAUUUUAUAUGCAUAAAAAUGGGGUAAUAAAGACUGAGUUAUGAAAUCAGUUAACAUGGCAUGACUGACUAUAGAUUUUCAAUCAAAACAUUGAGAGGAUAAUACGAAAAGGCCCCUAAGGGUCCAAGCAUAUAUGGAACAAGGUCCAAAUAUAGCAUUCAACCCAAUUAGUAGAAAUUCUUUCGAAAACACAUAAGUAUCUUAUAGUUUACGUCAAAUACGUAACUUAUAGUUGCUAUGGGACGGACUAAAUCAUAACCCCCAACAAUGCAUUACCAUACACAUGUUACCUAGCAUGCACAUCACCUCAAAGUAGUAAAACAAUGCAAAAUCUAGGGUUUCAUACCCUUAGGACUAGAUUUACAAUUAUUACUUACCUCAAACCGGUCAAAUCCCUACUCCACGAUGCUCUUGCCUCUCGAAUCAGCUUCCAAAUGCCUCGAAUCUAGCCACAAAUAAUUUGAUACAAUCAACAUGAGCUAAAGAAAUCAAUCCCAUAAGGAAAUGCUAAGCUUUGGGUCAAAAAUAAAAAAGUCAACUCAAAGAAGGCCCUAGGCCCACGUCUCGAAAUCCGACAAAAGUCGCAAAAUCUGACAACCCAUUUGACUAUAAAACUAACUAUAUUAGUUUUACUCAAAUACGAUCACAAAUGAGAUUUCAAUUCCCAAAAUUUUAUUUUAUGAAACUCCACCGAUAUUCCCCUCAAAUUUCCAUCCCAAAUCACGAAUUUAAAUGAUGAAUUCAAUGAUAUAUUCAUGAAUAUUAGCCAAAACCGAGUUAGAAUUAUUUACCCAGAUGAUUUCCUUGAAAACUACCAAAAAUUUGCCUCAAACCGAGCUUCCAAAGUCCAAGAUGUGAAAUAAAACUCUAAACGUUGCUUAUAUAGCCCCAUAACCUCCACUAUGCAGUCCGCAUAAUUCCAUUGCGGCCGCACACUUCUCACCACGAUCCGAGUUAAUCCUGCCGCGGCCGCUCCCUGAGCCUUGCCUUGCGCGGUCCACAUAAAUACACCCCGGCCGCAUUCCUUCUCGCGCGGCCACUGAAUGCCUCCGCGGAUGCCAAUUUUGUGCGACGCACUUCCUAUACCAGACACAGCUGACACCAGGAAUCUGCAACUUUUAAAGCUAAAUUUGAUCCCUUAACCACUUGAAACUCAACCUUGGCCCUCGGGACCUCAACCAAACAUACCAACGCAUCCCAUAACAUCAUUCAAACUUAGUCGAAACUUUGAAUCACUUAAGACAACAUCAAAAUACAAAAUUACCAUCGAAUACAAGACUAAGAAUAUCCAAAUUUCUAAAUUUCACAAAUGGCGUCAAAACCUAUCAAAUCACGUCGAAUGGACCCAAAUUUUGCAUACACUUCACAAAUGACACUACGAACCUACUCCAACUUCUGAAAUUCUAUUCUGACCCUGAUAUCAAAUUUUCCAUUGCCGACCAAAAUCGUCGAACUUUCAACUUUCGCCAAUUCAUGCCUAAUUCUACCACAUAUCUCCAAAUCACAUUCUGGACGCGCUUCUACGACGAAAAUCACCUAACGGAGCUAACGAAACCAUCAAAAUUCAAAUCUGAAGUCAUUUGCACAUAAGUCAACAUCCGGUCAACUUUCCCAACUUAACCCUUCACAAAAGAGACUAAGUAUCUCAAUUUACUCCAAAACUAGUUUGAACCCGAACCAAUUAAUGCGAUAUGAUCAAAUAUAGCUGAAGAACAUAAAAGGAAGCAGAAAUGGGGGAAAUGAGGCUAUGUCUUACGAAACGAUCGGCCGGGUCGUUACAAUAAAGAAGAAGAAACAACAACGAAAAAAAUAUAUAUCUGAAGUUACCCACAAAUUAAAUAUCAGUUAAACUUCUCUAAAAAUAUAUACAUAUUAACCAAAUAGGAUGCCUCUGAGAAAAUUUUACAUUUGUUACAUGCAAACGUAGUAACUUAAAACAAAUAUUGGACAUUAUUGUGGGCCUUUUGGCUAUAAAUAAUAUUUAUUAGUAUUUAAAUUUUAAACUUCGAUUUUCAUAAUCUACUGCAUCGUCAGUAUGUGUUCUAUCAAACUUCAAUAUUUCAAAUAUUGAAAUGCUUUUGAGGAGUAUUUUAAAUGAAAUAAAUUUUUAAUUUUAUUUUUUCAAGUUAAGUUAUGCCAAACACAAACAUUCCAACUUUCACGAACUUGAUUUUCUCCCCUCUAAAUUCAACCGCAAAUAUUCCUUUUUUGCAACUUCAAUCUAAUAUUUAUUAAAACAACUUUAACAUCUACCAUUUAUUUGUAGUUAUUAUUGCAGAAAGAAAAUGCAUCUAAUAAAGGAUUGACGGGGAAUAACCUCGCAGUAGUUUAGCUCUUUUAAGUGAAAAAGAAUAAGAAUCUCAUCAUUUCUCUUAAAGUUAAAGGUAAAAAACGCAAAAAGAAGUGAUGCAUAUUAAGAAAUUAAAUCAAAAUAACAAUAUGAAACACGAAAACAGAUAAGAAUAUAAAGCGCAAAAAAUAAGAACUUUUUAUUUCUUUCAAGUAUUUCAAGUGUGUAUAAUGUGAUGCCCCAAUCCUCUAUUUAUAACAUAAUAUAAGUAAUACAAAGGGAUAUCAUGAACAUAAAUAAAAAGUAGUGAGAGGUUAAUGGAAAAGAAUAGUGAUUACUCCCUUAAGAGUUAUAAACAUUCACCAUAUUUAAGUAUUUCAUAACAAUACAUUUCUUUUUCCUCUUCAACUUUCACUCCAAAAAUAUUUUCACUUUCUCUCUCUUAAAAAUUCAAUUAUUAAGUCAAUAUGAUCUGAAAUUACUACAACAGUAAUGUGACAAAUUCAACUUUCGAAAAUAAGGGGUCAUAAUGACCUUUACUUGCAAAAAAUAUGUGAAAGUUAAGAUUUGAGAGGGCAACCCAUUAUUUCACUAGAAAUAUUCUUUUAACAAAUAUUUCAAUAUUUUAUUAAUAUUAUAUUUAACUUUAUUAGUUCCAAAUACUAAUUCGUGCUAUCAAAAAUUAAAAAACGCUGAAUUUCAGUGUUCGAAAUACUGAAAUAUUAUUUUGAUGGCCAAUGGUGCUAGAAUUGACUAAUUAUUAAAAAAUUACCAAAUAAAUGCCGUAUAAUAAUUUUAAAGUGUUAAUUAAAAGAACUUUAGGAUUGAAAAAUACCAGAUUUUAUAGAAAAAAUAAAUAACGACCAAAAAAUUAGGAUUAGAUUUUAGAUUGAAUAUUGGUCUGAUUUCCAUAUUUAAUGGCCUUAGAUAGAGAUGGACCUUUCUAUCAAAUUCUAUGCAUCAAAAACUAAUUCAUGAUUCCCACUUAAAAUGCUAAUUAAUUCCCUUAUUUCCUUUUUUUAUUUAAACCUCUUCUCCUCGCUCGUUAGCUUGUAGAAUAUUAAUUUAGCUAGUUAUGAAAUAACAUGAUAGAACAAGAGGAAGAAAAAAAAUAUGCAAUGCAUCUGAGUUGAAUUUGAAUAGAUGAAAGUCAUUAAUAUUUUUAAAUUAUUAGUCCAAAUUUCAAAUCCGAAAGUAAAAGUACGUAACUAUAAUCAAAUAUCAUAUCUUUACAUUAGAAUUUGAAUGACAACGGUGGUAUAAAGUUUUUGAAUUAAAUAGUCUUCUAGAUAGAUUUUGAAAUGUGAAAUAACUUAGCCUCCCAAAGCAAAACUGAAAUUUUAUUAAGAAUAAUUGAAUUUUGAAUGUGCUUUAAAAAUCACUUAUUUGCUUUUUAAACUAAAGACACAUAAUUCGUUUUGACAAAAUGUUACAUGCACUCCAACUUCAACUUCAACUUCAAACACUUUUUUGCGUUAAAGUGACUACUAAAACUUCGAACUUUGUCGUAAUAUUUGAUGUAAAAUCUCCAAUUAGUUACAUAUUUUUGCAUGAUGUAUUUUUUCCCUCUCCGUUUAUUAAGACUAUAUUUUAUAUCUUAUUACUAAUAACAUGUUAAGACUCAAGCCUGUGUCAUGUAUUGUUGAACUUGUCUAACAGCUUGUUUAGAUUGUUGUUACAUGCCGUUUCACAAUAUAUCGUAUUGUAUUGUACUGCAUUGUAUUGUAUCGUAUUGUAUCAUGAAUAUAACGUUUGGAUAGAUUGUAGCGUUUCCUCUCAUUUCAUAAAGUCAUGCACCAACAAUAUAAAGAAUAAACUUGCAAUAUUACUAAAAAAAGAUCGGAUAUAAAGUAGAAUUGUUAUACAAAAAAGUAGGACAAACGAUAAAAUAUGAUUAUUUAAUAAUAAAGAAUGGCAAGAUGAGGGAUGGAAAAUCAAGGUAACUAUUAAGAUACUACUAUUCAUUUUAUCUUUGUAAUUGUAUAAUUGUAUGCUGAGUCAUCAAUAGUUAAUAUUAGUUAGGUGUUUAGUCAGAUGUCACAUAUAUAUAUAUAUAUACUGAACAAUUACAAUGUACACUUAGUUGAGAUUCAUUUUUUACAUUUUAUCAGAUCCUUCAUCAUCUCUCUCUUUCUCUCUCCACGAGUUUCUUCUAGAAGCUUCAAAGACCUCCAUUGAAGGAGGUUCGGAGCUUGAUUCUCUUCUCAAAUCUUGACAUCGUAUUAGAGCAAAGGUUCGAUUGAUGACCACGACCACACCCUCUCUCGUUCUUCUAUUCUCUGAUCACUAAACAAUCUAGGGUUCUCUUUUCCCUCAUCAGUCAGAAUUUGGGAAAAACCUAAAAUCGGAUACAUGCAGUGACAAUUUGUUGACAAAUAGGGAAAAUCUCAACUACGCGAGUUUUAAUUCAAGUGAUUUCACAAAGUUCCUAUGGAAAUCACAGAGUAAAUUGACAAAAUGACUACACUGGCGGCAACUCAGACGGUAAUUGAUGUCGGUAGCCCUCUCUACAUACAUCCUUUAGAUAAUCCUGGUUCCUCACUGCUUCCAGUUCCAUUCUAUGGAAUUAGAUAUCAUUCCUGGAGAAGAAAUGUACUCAGGGCCCUUUCAGUGAAAAACAAGUUAGGGUUUAUCAACGGAGAUAGUGGAAGACCUAAUGUGAUGUGUCCACAUUUUCGUCAAUGGGAAAUGUAUGAAGACAUGAUCACCUCAUGGAUCUUAAAUUUUUUGUCAAGGACAUUGCUGAGAGUAUUGAAUAUGUGAAUGAUUCUGUUGACCUGCAGAAGGGAUUGGAGGAUUGAUAUGAUCAAACGAACGGAGCUAAACUCUAUCAAAUUCAGAAAGAGAUCAAUGACUUGAGUCAGGGAGUACUUGAUGUCACAUCUACUACACAAAAAUUACGAAACUCUGGGAAGAAUUAAACACUCAAAGCAUCAAGACUCACUGUAGUUGUGUAUGUAUCUGUGGGGAGAAGGAAAGUAUGCAUAAGGCAUAAGAAGACAAAAGACUAUACAAUUUCUAAUGGGACUCAAUAAAGUCUAUACGGUGGUUCGAGAAAGUAUACACAUGAUGAACCCCUUGCUGUCUAUCGCACAGGCUUUUACUCUCAUGAUACAAAAGGAGAAACAGAGGGAGUUCAAACUAAGAAAUCAACUAAGUAUUGAUUCCACAUCAUUGAACGUCAACCUAGGAGGAAGAAACUUCAAAACAAACUACUCAACUAGGAUUGGAAAUCAAAUUGGAGGUAGUAGACCCCGACCUUUUUGUGACUACUGCAAACGACAAGGUCACACUGAGGACAAGUGGUAUAAAUUUCAUGGGUACCCACAUGGAUUCAAUCAAGGACCACAACAGUACAAGCAGAGUUCUUAGGGAUAUAAUAACAAUGCAAGGGUUUAACAAAGGAGGGAGUGCCUUGACACAGGAAUUUGAAGCCUUGUAUGCUAAUAACACAUGGGAUUUAGUCCCCUUGCCUAAGGAAAACAAGCUAUUGGAUGUAGAUGGGUAUAUAAAGUCAAACAUAUAGCAGAUGAUAGUGUAGAGAGAAACAAGGCAAGGUUAGUGGUAAAAGGGUACACCCAACAAGCUGGGGUAGACUACAUAGAGGCUUUCUCUCUUGUAGUCAAGAUGACCACUGUCAGGUCACUUGUUGCCAUAGCAACAAAGAAGAAAUGGAAAAUCUCUCAACUGGAUGUGAAAAAUGUAUUUCUCCAUAGAGAUUUGCAUGAGGAGGUAUAUAUGCAAGCUCCUCCAGGCCUUGAGAGGCAGUCUCCCGGCUUGGUUUGCAGACUGAACCAGUCCCUAUAAGGACUGAAACAAGCAAGCAGGCAACGAUAUGAUAAAUUGACCAAAGUCUUGUAUUCAAGGGGGUAUACACACUCUAUGUAUGACUACUCUUUGUUCUACAGAGAACAAGGUUCUUCUAUUAUUUUUAUAGCAGUGUAUAUAGAUGAUGUGCUGCUUACAGGGACCAACUUAUAGGAAAUCAGUAGCUCAAGGCCUUCCUUCAUGACAAGUUCAGAAUUAAAGACUAAGAUCAGCUGCAUUAAUUCCUGGGAUUAGAAAUUCUAUAUAAACCAGAUGGUAUGAUCAUUUCACAAAGAAAAUUUAUUUGGACCUAUUGAGGGAAUAUGAGUACCUUCAUUCCCCAGCAUUGACAUCUCCUUUGGACCCUGCAAUAAAGUUGAAAGCAAAAGAAGGGGCUCUAUUGUCUGAUCCUACCUUUUAUAGAAAGCAAAUUGGAAAGCUAAAUUUUCUCCCAAAUACUAGAUUAGACAUAGCAUAUGGGGUCCAACAUCUCAGCCAAUUCAUGCAAGAUCCUAAGGAGCCUCACUUAUAGGCGGCCUACCACAUGAUGACAUACUUAAAGAAGGAUCCUAUCCUAGGACUAUACUUCAGCAGUUCAUAUGAUCUCUCACUAGUUGCUUAUUGUGAUUCUGAUUGGGCAACUUGCUCAUAUUCUAGAAGAUCAGUAUCUGGAUAUGUUGUGUUCUUAGGAGGCAGCACCAUCAGUUGGAAAUCCAAGAAACAAGAAAUCAUCUCUCUCUUUUCAGUAGAGGCAUAAUACAGAGCACUUAGAAAGGUUGUUGGGGAACUUGUUUGGCUAUCAAGGCUACUUGAAGAACUUACUGUGCCAAUUUGUGUGCCAAUACCUAUGCACUGUGAUAACUUAUCUGCACUACAUAUUGCUAGGAACCCUGUGUUGCAUGAACGGACUAAGCACAUUGAAGUAGAUUGUCACUUUGUACGUACUAAACUCCAGGAAGGACUCAUUUCUCUGCACCACAUUGGCACUGGACAACAACUGUCAGAUAUGCUUACCAAAGCUCUCGCUGGGGUCAAAAACUGCUCUGUUCUUGACAAGUUGGGUGUGAUUUCAUCACAUCCCACUUAAGGGGGGGGGGGGGUAUUGAGAUACUACUAUUUAUUUUAUCUUUGUAAUUAUAAUUGUAUAAUUGUAUGCGGAGUCAACAAUAGUUAGUAUUAGUUAGGUAUUUAGUCAGAUGUCACAUGUAUAUAUAUAUAUAUAUUGAACAAUACAUUAUACACUAAGAUGAGAUUCAUUUUUUUACAUUUUAUCAGAUCCUUCAGCAUCUCUCUCUUCCUCUCUCCACGAGUUUCUUCUAGAAGCUUCAGAAACCUCCAUUGAAGGGGGUCUAAAGCUCAAUUCUCUUCUAAAAUCUCAACAAUAACGACUCCAACAUAUCGAAUCUGUCGUGUCAUAAAGUAACACUUUUCGUCAAUACAAUAAAAUUUAAAUAACAAUCAAAACAAAUAUUGUAGUUAAGUAACAAUCCGAUACAAUACAAUACAAUAUGUAGCAACCAUCCAAACAAGCUGUAAGGUGACAUGUGCACUUAUUCUUCAAAUACCCUGCUAGAAGCUCCGUUAUAUUAUCAGCUUUGGCCCAAUAAAACUUACGGAUUUGUCACUUGGUCUACACCGUUAUCGGGUUCAAAGUGCGUAUACCAUGACUCAUGUAAAUUUGCAGUAUACCUCUAUAAAUUUAUUUACUUUCCUCUUUCAUUCCGAUGUAAAAUUCAAAUAAGGUGAUAUAUGCAUCCAUUUUUGAGAAGUUACCGGUCAAGAAACAUGUCACUCUUAUUGACCCGUUCUUCAUCAUGUGUGUCACAUUAAAUUUCAGACAUCUGUACUAAAUAUGUAUUCUCCAAUGACAACUGAAAAAAUUGAUAAAGAAAAGACAAACAAAAAAAAAAAGAUAGUAAUAUCACGCAUUGCGAAAGGUAAUGAAGUUAUUGUUUAAUCAACCCAUAAGAAGUUCCUAUUGGGAUUGCAAGGAAAAACGAGUCAGGUCCCAACUAGCCAUAUAUUUUGAAUACACGAAAACGAAAUAAUUGAAUUAAUUUAAUAGAUAAAAAUAAUGACAAAGAAAUUCCAACAAAAAUUCAAGAACAACAAGAGUUAAGACCUUAUUCGAACAUAUAUAAUAAUUAGUAUAUCAACCAAUCACCUCGAACAAGAAUGAUUAAGAACCAGAGAACGGUGUACAUAAGCCGUAUUAGUUCGGAUUGACUGGGCUGCAUUGUCGUACCUUCAUACCUUCGCCCCGAUGUCCUGUCUUAAGGUUCCCCCGAGCUACUUUAUUAAAGCAGACUUUUGCUCAUCGUCUGCGUCUUUAGUCGAAAGCUAUUUCUUUUAUGAUUCCUUCUCUCACUUGAAGACUUUCAAUUACCAAACCAAACUAAUUAUAUUAGAUUAUUAAUUUUAAAGACCAAAUCAAACCAAUAAAACUCGGGUUUUCAAUCUCAAUUUUUCUUGGGUUUUCGGUUUUUCCGGGGUUUUUUUUCCGGUAAAAUCUUCGUAGGACAACAUAUAAUUUGUGCUCAAAAUAUUUCUUUAAUCAUAGUAAAAGUUAACUAUAUAAGGUAUUUCCAAAAAAAUAAUACAAAAUAUGAAAUGUAUCAUGGUAUUAUUCUAAAAUAUUCAACAUAAAGACAAUCACAUUAGGUAAUGUAAAUAUUGCUAAUUAAAAACCCAUAAUAAAUAUAAACAUAAUCAAAAAGCACUAAGUCAUGCUAAAAUAAGUAGACUAAUAAGGGAGUAUUAAUUACAUGACUAAACGCUAAAAAAAUAAGUUAUGCAUUUUUAUCUAAAUGAUUACAAAAAAAGAAAAUAAAUAUUCAAUACAUUGUCAUUCGUAGUAUUGAAUUGAAUAUCUUUUGUUAGCAUAAAUAUUGAUUUAAUCUUGGUUUGGGCUUUUGUUAGCAUUAUUUAAGUUAUUAAUAUUAAUAUAUGUAAAACUUAUUAAAACAUUUAAAAGUUCUAAGUCCUAACCGUAAAAGAAUACCUUAAAACAUAAGAUUAUGAAAAAGUUUAAGAAUAUAUUUAUAAAUUACAGCACAAUAAGUAUAUUUAUAUAUUAAAUAUAUCUAACGUUCUAUAUAUGUAAUGUUGGGUUGGUUUGGUUUCGGUUUGACUUUCUUUAGUUAAAACCAAAUCAAACCAGAUCAAUUAUGGUCGGAUUUUUUUCACCGUCAAACCAUAAUUGUGUUUUUUCCUCGGUUUGACUCGAAUUGUCGAGUUGGUGUGGUUUAUCGGUUUCGUUUAUACACCCAUAUCCAGAGAUAAAAGUAUUAAAAAGGAAAAUAAUUACCAUCAAGAAUCAUAUCUGAAAGUAAUUCCGAAAUUCAAUUAAAACGAUAAAUUUUUUUACUUCUCAAGAUGUUUAUCAAUCUUGUUAAGAAUAGAAUUCUAUUUGGAGUGAAUGUCUAUCUUGUAGAGAGUUUUACUUUGAGGCUAAAUCAUUUUUCCUCCUAUAAAUAGAGGGGUCUUACCCCAUUGUAAAUCACCCCAAAAUUCAAUAAGAAUUUUCUCUAUCUCUUUUUCUGUAAUAUUGUUCUUGUUCUUUUAUUGUUUCAUAACACGUUAUCAGCACGAGACUCUACCGUCUCAAGAAGUUCUAUUUCAAAAGCUCCCUCAUGGACUCUCCUCGGAUUUGACCGAAAACCAGUCUUAAGAAGUAAAAGAAAAACAGAGAAAGGAGAACUCUCAUUCUUCUUCUCUUUCAAAGUCACAACAACCAUUUAAUCUUGGAAAAAUCAGAAAAAUCCUCUAAUCUCCAUUGUUACUCUCUUGGGCAAAAGAGGACUCAUCAACGACCAGCUAAACCAGUUGUCCCUGCCUCCAACUCAACCCGCAAAACUGCUGCGUCCAGUUCCGCUGGAAACCAGCAACCACCCGUGUCUGCUUCUGACUCGUCCAGCAACAGACUACCCCCACUGAUUCAUCCCCUCGUCGUCAUGCCGCCAUAGUAACGACGAAACAAACUCCAGCCUACUGUCACGCCAUUGACGUCUCAAAUGACGACCUUCGUCGUCGACCACCCAUAAGCUUCUAAACUAGACCACCACCACUUCACCA
rnacentral:lncRNA from 1 species